CCCAGGGCCAGCACACUACUGCCCAGGAAAGGUAAGGCAGCCUGCCCACCCCUCCUCCUCUGCUUUGCAACUACCAGCCCUUGAGAAUCUCCACCUUCUGACGGGGCUUCUGAGAACACACGACCACCUUA